AGCCCAGUGCUGGAACUGGAAUACAGAGUGGUCUUAAAAACCACUGCCCAUUUGGGAUUGGGAGUUCGAAUCUCCUCUGGGCUA
rnacentral:tRNA from 1 species